CUUUUUCUUAUUCUAUUAAAUUAAUUGCAAAUUUCAUGUGUUACAAAAAAAAAGUGACCAAGAGUUAUAUAAGUUAUGCUAUGUUUAUUUACAUAUUACAACUGAUUAUUGUGAAUAUAUGCCUGUUAUCUACAACGUCAACAGAAGACUGGAACCCCAACAAAUAUAGCAUCCACAUUUCCGCUUCACAGUCAAGCCUCUGAGCCUCUCACUCGCUUGCAAUUCCAUCCAUAAAUAUUAACAUGGUUAAUGAACCUUCCACCAGAAUAAAAGAAUAGCUGCACACCUCUAAUCAAACUUAUCACCCUCAUCUUCAAAAUGAUUUUCCACUUUUGAGCCCGCAUUGUUACUAUUUACAAACUUGAGCUGAGCUUCUGUUCUUAAGCUGUCUCUAUUAUUUACAUUCUCGAGCCAAGCAUCUGUUUUAGGGCGGUUACUAAUAUGUACAAAGCCCACAGCUUCUACUGGCAUCCUAGGACCAUUCCUCCCAGUUUCUUCAACCCCAUUCUGAUGUGAGGCAGCUGCAGUAGCACAAUCAGCCAUGGAGUCGAGACAGCCUGCACUUUUCCUACAUGAAAGCCUGCUAUUUUCAGACAGCACAGACCUUUGAUGGUGCAGACGCCCAUUAAUGUUACUAUCUAAGGCAGGGACCCUUGCAUGUUGAAGAUAGUCAAAUACUGGAACUAAAUCCUUUGACCUUGCUUCAAUCAUACGAGUUGGAAUCCUUUCAACAUCAAUUUCUCCUCCUAAUGCAGUUUCCCUAUCCAUUUUUAUCUCCUCUGCUGUCAUUAAUUGAAAGUAUAUCUCAGGUUUUUCCCAUAAUGGAAUACAAGGUUGAUGUGUUUGUAGUUCAGCUUCUGAAAUAUACAAA
rnacentral:misc_RNA from 1 species